AGUUGAAUGGGAUACCUAAAUUUCCCAUAGCAAACUGCUCAGUAACACAUGAUCAACUUACCCUAUAGAGAAAAAUAACCUCGGGAAACUGAGGAUAAUGUUUCAUAAUUGAAUUGGCUUGGAAAAGUUUUUCAAUGAAAAGGAUAAAAAAAAUGGUUUUUAUCUGCUAUAGGAUAGGAUCGUGUUCGAUUAUGGUUGUUGGUGAGAUAAUGGCUCACCAAGCCGAUAAUCGAUAGGGGCCGUGAGAGCGGGAGCCCCGAGAUGGGUACUGAGACAACGACCCAGGCCUUACGAGGCGCAGCAGGCGCGGAACCUCCGCAAUACACGAAAGUGUGACGGGGUUACCCAAAGUGUUCAAUAGAACUGUGGUAGGUGAGUAAUGUCCCCUACUAGAAAGGAGAGGGCAAGGCUGGUGCCAGCCGCCGCGGUAAAACCAGCUCUUCAAGUGGUCGGGAUAAUUAUUGGGCUUAAAGUGUCCGUAGCCGGUUUAGUAAGUUCCUGGUAAAAUCGGGUAGCUUAACUAUCUGCAUGCUAGGAAUACUGCUAUACUAGAGGGCGGGAGAGGUCUGAGGUACUACAGGGGUAGGGGUGAAAUCUUAUAAUCCUUGUAGGACCACCAGUGGCGAAGGCGUCAGACUGGAACGCGCCUGACGGUGAGGGACGAAAGCCAGGGGAGCGAACCGGAUUAGAUACCCGGGUAGUCCUGGCCGUAAACGAUGCAUACUAGGUGAUGGUACGGCCAUGAGCCGUAUCAGUGCCGUAGGGAAACCGUUAAGUGUGCCGCCUGGGAAGUACGGUCGCAAGGCUAAAACUUAAAGGAAUUGGCGGGGGAGCACCACAAGGGGUGAAGCCUGCGGUUCAAUUGGU
rnacentral:rRNA from 1 species